UCCUUGGCUUUGCUAGGUUUUUGCCUCUUUUACUCGCCUUGGUUGUUCUAUGUUCCUCUCUAUCCGUGCUGCUUCCUCGUUCUCCCCUGCACCGUGUUUGUUUUCUGAUCCUCGACGCCGCAACACGUUUCUGCCGCCGCCGCUACACUUGGGGAGAUGGGAGGCCAUUUUGUGUAAUUUCUGAAGUCCCUGGUUCCAGUGAUGAAGAUUAUUUUAAAGAAGUUUACAAUGUGACCAUUUUACGAAGAAGAGAUUGGCUGAGACGAAGGAAGCAGCUGAAGUUGAGAUUUGGAUCAGUGGUUCCAAUUUCAGGAUCUGAUUUUGUUUGAGAGGUUUCACAGGCUUCCUCUGAUGUUUGGGUGAUUGUCAUCCUUUACAAAGAUGGUGCAUUGAAGAAUUUGUCACAAGAUAUCCUGUAACAAAAUAAAUUUGUUAAGAUAAUAUCAACUGAUUGCAUUCCCAAUCUGCCCACCGUAUUGGUAUACAACAAGAUGCACUCUUGAAGGAAUUUAAUUGAUUUUAUCUUAUGAUGCCUUUUGUGAAACUUGUUAGUUUAAACUUUAAAAAUAUUUAAAUUUCAGAAACGUGAUAUUGAAUGCAUAUUUAUUUUCUUUCUUCUCUCUUUUCUAAUUGGAACUCAUAUGUAUUAUUGUAUUUUUGUUGUAAUUCUU